rnacentral:rRNA from 1 species
CACGGCCUAUCAGCUUGUUGGUGGGGUAACGGCCUACCAAGGCAGCGACGGGUAGCUGGUUUGAGAGAACGAUCAGCCACACUGGGACUGAGACACGGCCCAGACUCCUACGGGAGGCAGCAGUAGGGAAUCUUGCGCAAUGGGCGAAAGCCUGACGCAGCAACGCCGCGUGCGGGAUGACGGCCUUCGUGGUUGUAAACCGCUUUCAGCAGGGACGAAAAUGACGGUACCUGCAGAAGAAGCCCCGGCUAACUACGUGCCAGCAGCCGCGGUAAUACGUAGGGGGCGAGCGUUGUCCGGAAUCAUUGGGCGUAAAGAGCUCGUAGGCGGUUCAGUAGGUCGGGUGUGAAAGCUCCGAGCUCAACUCGGAGAGGCCACCCGAUGCUGCUGUGACUAGAAUCCAGUAGGGGAGCGUGGAACUCCUGGUGUAGCGGUGAAAUGCGCAGAUAUCAGGAAGAGCACCAGCAGCGAAGGCGGCGCUCUGGGCUGGAAUUGACGCUGAGGAGCGAAAGUGUGGGUAGCAAACAGGAUUAGAUACCCUGGUAGUCCACACCGUAAACGUUGGGCACUAGGUGUGGGGAGGAAUCAACCCUCUCUGUGCCGUAGCUAACGCAUUAAGUGCCCCGCCUGGGGAGUACGG